CCUGGAUGGGUUCCCAAGCAGGAAAAUGACUCCAGGCUGACCUUCUUUCUCCUCAGGUCUUCCAGAGACAGUCUUUUUCUGCUGGAGAUUUCUCCCACAGAGGAGGAAGAAGACUCCAGAGGCGGAGGAUGAAGCCGUCAUGUGCAGUUGAGACCAUUUCACACUUCUGUGUCAUGGGUCCCCAUCUCACUCGCAGACCUCCAUUGCUACUUGUGGGACAUGGAUGCCCUGCAUCAGAAUGGGAGUCACCUGCAGAACUUACCUUUGGGGGCACAUAUUAGCUAAGGCCAAGAACUGUAGGUAUCUGAAGGGUCCCAGGCCACUUACUUUGCAGAAUCCCAGCGAGGCUGAAGCCAUUCGCAGAACAGGUCUUGCUGGUUUUGAAUUGCAGACUUGGCACAUACACAGAGAUGGAAGGCUUUGCAACUACAGGACAUGGAUUUGAGAAUGGAAAACCACGCACACCAUGCUGGAGGCGAAAGCGACACCGCCAGGACUGUGUCUUCCCCUCCGCCGUUGUUGCCAGCGAGCCUCGGCUUCUAAUGUGAGGAAAAACACGGACUGACAAGUGUGGGAAAGAGCAAGCACUAAAUUACUGUCAGAAAAAUAAACGGAGUAGCACAGUGGUGCUCGGUGAUUUACGGGGGCAAUUAGUCACCACCCCACGGCGCUGCUGAGGACGGCACUGCAGCGAUGCAUCAGGACCACGAGGAAGAGGAGGCUGCUGCUCUGCAGACAACUUCUCAAACAAGAAAGGGUACCUGAGCCCAUUAAGUCCCAUGUCGUCACUCUGGGUGCCUACCCUUCCCACCUUCCCGCUGGCUUCGUGAAUACACAUAGCUUUAACACAGUCGAAUCCUGUUCUGUGUGUUCAACAGCCUCCAACUACAGGUUUUCUCUCCCUUUGUCCACAAGUGGGUUUCCUCAAUCCCCUAAAAUCCAAAAGUCCUGUUUUCACUCUUCCGUUGACCCCUGGGGUCUGUCCUGUUGCUUAUUGCAUCCUUCUACCAGGCUCUGCAUUGGCUCAGAACUACUUGGUGCUAAGGAAUUGGAUCCACAGCUCCUCCACAGAAGUUCGGCGAGCUGGGACAAGGACCCACCUGAUGAACGUGCCAAGAAAAUGAAAAAGAUACAUAAAUGUCCUGUUGCUUGAACACAUGUUCAUUAACACACCAUAUGUAUUGCCUGUGUGUAACAUAGCAAAAUAAAUCUGCUAUGGUAUAAUUAA